rnacentral:tRNA from 1 species
GCCGGGAUAGCCUAGCCAGGUAAGGCGCGGGCCUUGAGAGCCCGUGGAGCUUUGCUCCUCCAGGGUUCAAAUCCCUGUCCCGGCGC